rnacentral:rRNA from 1 species
AAACUUAAAGGAAUUGACGGGGACCCGCACAAGCGGUGGAUGAUGUGGAUUAAUUCGAUGCAACGCGAAAACCUUACCUACCCUUGACAUGUCAGGAAUCCUGCUGAGAGGUGGGAGUGCUCGAAAGAGAACCUGAACACAGGUGCUGCAUGGCUGUCGUCAGCUCGUGUCGUGAGAUGUUGGGUUAAGUCCCGCAACGAGCGCAACCCUUGUCAUUAGUUGCCAUCAUUCAGUUGGGCACUCUAAUGAGACUGCCGGUGACAAACCGGAGGAAGGUGGGGAUGACGUCAAGUCCUCAUGGCCCUUAUGGGUAGGGCUUCACACGUCAUACAAUGGUCGGUACAGAGGGUUGCCAAGCCGCGAGGUGGAGCCAAUCCCAGAAAGCCGAUCGUAGUCCGGAUCGGAGUCUGCAACUCGACUCCGUGAAGUCGGAAUCGCUAGUAAUCGUGGAUCAGCAUGCCACGGUGAAUACGUUCCCGGGUCUUGUACACACCGCCCGUCACACCAUGGGAGUGGGUUUCACCAGAAGUAGGUAGCCUAACCGCAAGGAGGGCGCUUACCACGGUGGGAUUCAUGACUGGGGUGAAGUCGUAACAAGGUAGCCGUAGGGGAACCUGCGGCUGGAUCACCUCCUUUCUG